rnacentral:rRNA from 1 species
UACAGAGGGUGCAAGCGUUGUUCGGAAUUAUUGGGCGUAAAGCGCGUGUAGGCGGCUUUGCAAGUCGGGUGUGAAAGCCCUCAGCUUAACUGAGGAAGUGCGCCCGAAACUGCAGAGCUCGAGUACCGGAGAGGAUGGUGGAAUUCCCCAAGUAGAGGUGAGAUUCGUAGAUAUGGGGAGGAACACCGGUGGCGAAGGCGACCAUCUGGACGGAUACUGACGCUGAGACGCGAAAGCGUGGGUAGCAAACAGG